rnacentral:rRNA from 1 species
UACGUAGGGACCAAGCGUUGUCCGGAAUUAUUGGGCGUAAAGCGCGUGUAGGCGGUUUGCCAAGUCCGGUGUGAAAUCUCGGGGCUCAACCCCGGAACUGCAUUGGAAACUGGCUUACUAGAGUCCGGAAGAGGAGACUGGAAUUCCUGGUGUAGCGGUGAAAUGCGCAGAUAUCAGGAAGAACACCCGUGGCGAAGGCGGGUCUCUGGGACGGUACUGACGCUGAGACGCGAAAGCGUGGGGAG